rnacentral:rRNA from 1 species
GACAGAGGGUGCAAACGUUGUUCGGAAUUACUGGGCGUAAAGCGCGUGUAGGCGGUUAUGCAAGUCGGGGGUGAAAGCCCCGGGCUCAACCCGGGAAGUGCAUUCGAUACUGCGUAGCUAGAGUACUGGAGAGGAUGGUGGAACUCUCGGUGUAGAGGUGAAAUUCGUAGAUAUCGAGAAGAACACCGGUGGCGAAGGCGGCCAUCUGGACAGAUACUGACGCUGAGACGCGAAAGCGUGGGGAGCAAACAGG